GACGAACGCUGGCGGCGUGCUUAACACAUGCAAGUCGAACGGUGAUCUCGGUGCUUGCACCGGGUGCUCAGUGGCGAACGGGUGAGUAACACGUGAGCAACCUGCCCCUGACUCUGGGAUAACCCCGAGAAAUCGGAGCUAAUACCGGAUACGAGACGCACGGGCAUCCGUAGCGUCUGGAAAGAAUUUUGGUCAGGGAUGGGCUCGCGGCCUAUCAGCUUAUUGGUGGGGUAACGGCCCACCAAGGCGACGACGGGUAGCCGGCCUGAGAGGGCGACCGGCCACACUGGGACUGAGACACGGCCCAGACUCCUACGGGAGGCAGCAGUGGGGAAUAUUGCACAAUGGGCGAAAGCCUGAUGCAGUGACGCCGCGUGGGGGAUGAAGGCCUUCGGGUUGUAAACCCCUUUCAGCAGGGAAGAAGCGAAAGUGACGGUACCUGCAGAAGAAGCGCCGGCUAACUACGUGCCAGCAGCCGCCGUAA
rnacentral:rRNA from 1 species